UUCUCAGCCACAUUUUCUAAUUUCCAGACCCCUAAUGGUUGCUUCAGCUUGGGCAAGUUAGGGGUGCUGACCAGAGCGAUCACAUCCUGAGCUUUAGACUAUAUUGAAGACAUCUAAACAACCCCAAAGUGGAAGGACUUUGUGAGCGCUUUCUUUCCCACAUACAAAUGCACCCCAUUGGAUAAGCUUGGGAUGUGUUUCUCUCAGCCAGAGCAGAUAUCUGCAGAGAUUGUACAUUGGGACAUCCAACUGCCAAUUUCGAACUCCUGGAGGACCACAACUUUACCCAAGAAGAGUAUUCUUAAGCUUAGAUCCAAACCCUACUAUUCUAAGCAAGUGCAAAAAUAGUCCUGACUGUGGCAGCUGCAGCACAGAAGAAAGGGCACUGGGCUGGGAAGCAAACAUUAUAGUUCAAAUCCCAGCUCUGCCACAAAGAGACUUUGUGUGACCUAGGACAGACUCUGAGUUAGCCCUCAUCUAGAACUUGAGGGUGACGUUACCUACCACAGAAGUUACUGUGGAGGUGAAAUGGGGCAAUGGCAUGGGACAGCACCCAGCGCUGUGCCAGGUCAAGGAAGACAGCAAGGAGUGCCUUUGGAGGAUGGAGCUCUCAAUUUUCAGCAGCUCAGCUAAGGCCACCUGCAGAUGGUGUGUUGUGUUCAUAGCUUCAAGACACAUCCCCUAGCCCUACUCUAUUCCCAAGCUGCUCUGAACUCUAGAAGUUCUAGACCUGCCUCUGUGUCUGAUACCCAGCAAGUCCUAACAAAAGGUCCCUUCCUUUCUUCUAUUAUUGAUGUCUUCUCUAUGCAAAGAGGAAAACACUAACAUUAAGACUGGUUCGAGAAAAAAGAGCUCUAGGGUGACUGGAAGACUCUCCGGAGUGCUUUUUGAGAAGCUGGGUGUUGAUAGUUUGGCUCCCAGAACUCAGGUCAGUACUCCGACUCUGCAACUUCCUCCUUAAUGAAGAUGAGGUUCAUCGUGGCCUGUCAGUGCAUGACCAGACAUUAGAUGUAAAAGGAGACCACAAUUCUUUUUUGGAAGAAGCUUGCAAACCACAGCAAACACCCCGUGUCCAAAAACCACCAUCAGGUGCAACAUAAAUUCCUCAUAUAUUCUCUUUCUCCGCAUCCCUUUGUUAUUACCCACAGGACCAUCCUCGUGGGAAGUCACUUGAUGCUUCUUGGGACUCACUGUUUCCUAAAAUCCAUCACCCUCCAAAGCAUAUUAAGCCUUCCUGGUGUCUGUCUCUAUAAUUCAUAAUUGAACAGAUUCAAAAAUGUUGUCUCACUGAUAAAUGUUCUUUUCAUACCAAGAAAGCAGAUAUCACAGUUCUACUUUCAGGAGUUUUAGAACUUCCAAAGUUUCUCUUUCAGUUUUUAAUUGCAUUCUAAGAAAUGUUUGAACAAACAGCAUUGAAAUGCCUCCCCCUGUAGCCUCCCCUCAGCACAUAUGUUUGGGCCAUCAUCAGCCCGGGGCUCAGGGUCAGAACAGAUAUAAUUCAGCUCUAAUCUGAUAGUACCCCUGUUGCUCUUGUCCUUUUGACUGAGUUGUAAUAUAACUCAGGGGAGGUUCCAUUGUGUUCAUGUCUACCUCUUUACUGGAUGUCAGAGGAGGAAGAGUUUGUGAGAUCAGGACUCUUCACGCUUUCACAGAUUUAUUGUUUGUGGCUUGUGGCCAGAAUAUACAUUUGCAAAAGACCCUCCCUCCAAUUUGACUUUUUCCAGAACAGCUUCUCUAGGUGUCCAGAAUUGGCUCCCUUACUCCUCCCUCAAGCUUUGCUGAGGCUGUAUGGGUUGCAGUCACGGCUGUGCCACCGAAGUGGGGAAUAACACAUCCAAAAAGCACAAGGCUGCGUUGUGCCUUGUAGUCCUAAGGCUUGUGUGCAUUCUCCCUGUAGCUACCUUCUAGAAUUCUUUUCUCUUCACUAAGUACACUUUAGGUUGUAUUUAGAAAGAGCAACGGGGCUAGGUCACAGUUUUAUAUUCUGAUAUAAAUUUAAAAUAGGGGGCAGCC